rnacentral:rRNA from 1 species
CACAAUGGGCGAAAGCCUGAUGCAGCAACGCCGCGUGAGUGAUGACGGCCUUCGGGUUGUAAAGCUCUGUCUUUGGGGACGAUAAUGACGGUACCCAAGGAGGAAGCCACGGCUAACUACGUGCCAGCAGCCGCGGUAAUACGUAGGUGGCAAGCGUUGUCCGGAUUUACUGGGCGUAAAGGGUGCGUAGGCGGACCUUUAAGUGAGAUGUGAAAUCCCCGAGCUUAACUUGGGGGCUGCAUUUCAAACUGGAGGUCUAGAGUGCAGGAGAGGAGAGUGGAAUUCCUAGUGUAGCGGUGAAAUGCGUAGAGAUUAGGAAGAACACCAGUGGCGAAGGCGGCUCUCUGGACUGUAACUGACGCUGAGGCACGAAAGCGUGGGGAGCAAACA